rnacentral:lncRNA from 1 species
CCCUUGACAGUGAUUAAUGAAAUAAAUCAAUCCAGGGGGAGAAACUCUGCCUGGAAUCAUUAAGAUCAAUAAUAAAUUUUACUUAAAUAAAGAAAAUCAAAUCUAAUAUUAUAAACUGGAGUUGAAUUGAAGCUACAUCAUAUCCCUAGUAAAAAGAUUUAUUUUGACAUAGUAAAUAAAUUAAACUCAAUUAAACUUGUAAAUAAUCUCAUAAUGAAUAAUCAACAAGAAAAGAGUUUAAAAAUAAAAACUAGUGAACGAUUGGCUUGAGCAGCUUCCUUGAAUCUUUGCACCAAUUUGAAUACUUGAAGUCUUAAAGAGAGAGAAACUACGUAUAGUGGAGAACAAUAGAACAAAA